rnacentral:rRNA from 1 species
AACUUUCAACAACGGAUCUCUUGGUUCUGGCAUCGGUGAAGAACGCAGCAAAAUGCGAUAAGUAAUGUGAAUUGCAGAAUUCAGUGAAUCAUCGAAUCUUUGAACGCACAUUGCGCCCGCCAGUAUUCUGGCGGGCAUGCCUGUUCGAGCGUCAUUU